rnacentral:rRNA from 1 species
AAUAGAUACCCGGGUAGUCCUGGCUGUAAACAUUGGGCACUGGGUAGUGGAACCGCCGAUGGUUUCACUGCCGCAGGGAAACCGUGAAGUGCCCCGCCUGGGGAGUAUGGUCGCAAGGCUGAAACUACAAAGGAAUUGACGGGGGCUCACACAAGCAGUGGAGUAUGUGGCUUAAUUCGAGGCUACGCGAAGAACCUCACCUAGGCUUGACAUGCAGGAAUUAGCCGGCGGAAACGUCGGUGACGCCGCAAGGUGGAAUCUGCACAGGUGCUGCAUGGCUGUCGUCAGCUCGUGCCGUGAGGUGUUGGGUUAAGUCCCGUAACGAGCGAAACCCUUGUGUCCAGUUGCCAGCGCGUAAAGGCGGGGACUCUGGACAGACCGCCGGUAUUAAACCGGAGGAAGGCGGGGACGGACGUCAAGUCAUCAUGGCCCUUAUGCCUAGGGCUGCACACGUACUACAAUGGGCCGGACAAAGCGACGCGAGACCGCGAGGUGGAGCAAAUCGCGAAAAACCGUCCCCAGUUCAGAUUGCACU